GAUGAAGAACGUAGCGAAAUGCGAUAAGUAAUGUGAAUUGCAGAAUUCAGUGAAUCAUCGAAUCUUUGAACGCACCUUGCACCCUUUGGCAUUCCGAAGGGUAUGCUCGUUUGAGUGUCAUUGUACUCUCACACUUCCAAUCUUUGGAUUGGGAGCGGUGGACUUGGGUGUUGCUGCUUACUGUGGCUCACCUCAAAUCGAUUCGUGCACCUCUUGGUUGGACAUAGUACGGCGUGAUAAGUGUCUUCGCCGGCACCUCAGUAGAGGGUGGCUGAUCAGGAGCUCUGUGCUUCAAACCGUCCUCGGACAACAACUGACAACUUGACCUCAAAGCGAGUAGGACUACCCGCUGAACUUAAGCAUAUCAAUAAGCGGAGGA
rnacentral:misc_RNA from 1 species